rnacentral:rRNA from 1 species
GGGCCUGCCCAGUGAUAUUUCAACGGCCGCGGUACUCUGACCGUGCAAAGGUAGCAUAAUCAUUUGCCCUAUAAUUAAGGGCUAGUAUGAACGGUCUAACAAGAAUGGAACUGUCUCUUUUAAAAUCCUUAGAAUUUGGUCUUUAGGUGAAGAAACCUAAAUUAUAUUGAUAGACAAGAAGACCCUAUCGAGCUUUAAAACAAUUAGUUAAACAAAUAGAUAACACUAACUUUAGCUAAAAAUUUUGGUUGGGGCGACUAAGGAACAAACAAAGCUUCCUUAAUAAAUUCUACACUAAUAAGUAAUGAUCCAAAAUAUUUGAUUAAUAAAAUUAGUUACCGUAGGGAUAACAGCAUAAUCUUCUUCAAGAGUUCUUAUCGAAAAGAAUGUUUGUGACCUCGAUGUUGGACUAGGAUACCCAAAAGAUGCAGAAGUCUUUAAAGGUUGGUCUGUUCGACCAAUAAAAUCCUACGUGAUCUAUCU